rnacentral:rRNA from 1 species
UACGGGGGGGGCAAGCGUUGUUCGGAAUUACUGGGCGUAAAGGGCUCGUAGGUGGCCAACUAAGUCAGACGUGAAAUCCCUCGGCUUAACCGGGGAACUGCGUCUGAUACUGGAUGGCUUGAGUUUGGGAGAGGGAUGCGGAAUUCCGGGUGUAGCGGUGAAAUGCGUAGAUAUCCGGAGGAACACCGGUGGCGAAGGCGGCUUCCUGGACCGACACUGACGCUGAGGCGCGAAAGCGUGGGGAGCAAACAGG